rnacentral:misc_RNA from 1 species
GGAAGUAAAAGUAGUAACAAGGUCUCCGUUGGUGAACCAGCGGAGGGAUCAUUACAGGAUCGAAAGACUCCUAUAACCCCUGUGAACUUACUACAAAUACGUUGCUUCGGCGGGUGCCCCGGGUCUCCCGGGGCGUUCAGCCCGCCGGCAGCCUUCAAAUUCUGUUUCUUUGCGUUGGCAUCUCGAGUAUACAAAAAUAAGUUAAAACUUUCAACAACGGAUCUCUUGGUUCUG